rnacentral:sRNA from 1 species
CUAUUGUUGUUGAGCUUUGUAAGUGCUGACAAUAUUUAAUUAUUUUUCCAGAAUACAACCUGGCAGUGGCAAUGCCGGUUUUUGGAAAGAACGUUAUCCUGAUGAUAUCUACAAUGAUUUGCCAGAAAGAAAUAGAACUCCAGAACCAGCCAACUAUGACACAGUACCAGAUGAAGUCGCUAACCCCAGACCUAGAAAAGACUCACUGCCUGCGGUGGAUAAACCUAGAAGUGCACCCAGGAGUGCUCCUAGAGGGCCUGAUAGGGGUGAUGUUGAUGACAUUCUAGGGGAGAGAAUCUGGAGCAGUGAUGUCCCCAUGAAUUACAAUCAGGGGCCAAGAGUUAACCCCCACUACAUUGACGACAUACUUUAGUCCAGUGCAUAGUGAUAAUCCCUAGAUAGCUCUUCCUUUAACAACCAAUGCAUUAUCAAUGCACUAUAUAAAUUGAAAAUGAUUCUUAUGUAUCUAAUUCAAAUUUUGAUAACUUUUGUUUGAAAAGGUUUCUUCUGAAAGUACACACUGACUGUUAAAAAAGAAGCUACUAUAGCUUAAUCAGAGAAUAAUGUUGUGGCAAAGUAGUUAAAAUAUGGGGACCAUGGACUAAUUGAAGCAGGAAUCUUUCAAAAACUUGUAUCCAACAAAAAGAC